rnacentral:lncRNA from 1 species
GCCGCCGCCGCCGCCGCCGCCCCGCCGCUUCCUCCUCCGCCUGCCGGCCUCCUUCGCCCCGUCCCGUCCGCGCAGCGCGUCCGGCCCGCCCGCAGGCCAGCUUCUCUCGGGAGCCCCCACCCAGGCGCAUGGCUCCAUGAAGCAAGAGGAGGAGGCAGAGCGCGAGAGGUCCCGUCCGCCCCAGCCGCGUCUGGGCCAGGAUAAAAGCAAAACCAUAUUCCUGCUGCUGUCAGUUAUGAUGCACUGAGAAAACUUCAGAGACCUAAACUUUUUCCAGAGAAGAGAAGCUUUACUGGUGUUCCAGCCCUAAGAAACCUUUGUUCAAGAAAACGGCAGAUGCUCUGUUGAAUCCACUGGAGAUUGUUCUGAUACUAAGGACAAGUAUGCUCAUAUGACAUUAACAGACAAGACACUUUUCAGAAAGACAG